rnacentral:rRNA from 1 species
CCCUUAGAUGUUCUGGGCCGCACGCGCGCUACACUGAUGCAUUCAACGAGUUUCUUCCUGGUCCGAGAGGAAUGGGUAACCUUUUGAAAGUGCAUCGUGAUAGGGAUAGACUAUUGCAAUUAUUGGUCUUCAACGAGGAAUUCCUAGUAGACGUAGUUCAUCAGACUGCAUCGAUUACGUCCCUGCCCUUUGUACACACCGCCCGUCGCUCCUACCGAUUGAAUGAUCCGAUGAAUAUCAUGGACUGAGAGUGUUAGAGUUUUCGGACUUCUACACUUCUCGGGAAGUGAAGUGAAUCUUAUCAUUUAGAGGAAGGAGAAGUCGUAACA